CGGAGGGAUCAUUAAAGAGUUCUAUAACUCCCAAACCCAUGUGAACAUACCUAACGUUGCCUCGGCAGGUCGCACCUACCUUGUAGCACCCUACCCUGUAGGGCCUACCCGGGAGGUGCGGGUAAGCCUGCCGGCGGCCCACCAAACUCUGUUUGAUAUUGAAUUCUGAACCUAUAACUAAAUAAGUUAAAACUUUCAACAACGGAUCUCUUGGUUCUGGCAUCGAUGAAGAACGCAGCGAAAUGCGAUAAGUAAUGUGAAUUGCAGAAUUCAGUGAAUCAUCGAAUCUUUGAACGCAUAUUGCGCCCAUUAGUAUUCUAGUGGGCAGGACCGUUCGAGCGUCAUUUCAACCCUUAAGCCUUCGUUGCUUAGUGUUGGGAGCCUACGGCAACGUAGCUCCUCAAAGUUAGUGGCGGAGUUGGUUCACACUCUAGACGUAGUAAUUUUUUAUCUCGCCUAUUAGUUGGACUAAUCCCCUGCCGUAAAACCCCCAAUUUAUCAAGGUUGACCUCGAAUCGGUUCAGACAAACUCGCUAAAUUGAAGCAUCUUAGUCAGCGAAGGAAAAGAAACCAACAGGGAUUGCCCUAGUAACGGCGAGUGAAGCGGCAACAGCUCAAAUUUGAAA
rnacentral:rRNA from 1 species